rnacentral:lncRNA from 1 species
GACAAUGAGGGCGAUGUGUGGUUAGCUUGUCGACCUUAAGACCGUUGUCGUCUCCUUCUGCAACGGUGUGUUUGAUUGAAAAGAGAAGAUCAAAGGUCGAAGAAGAAGACAAAGGGGGCUAUGUGCAAACCAUGAUGUUCUCAUAACCGACAACAUUAGCUCUUGCUCAAAUCCUCGGAUCUCCUUCCUAGAUCUGAUAGUCACCAUUCUCUAGAUCUUCGCUGCCACGGCUCCAAUGUUGUGAAUCCUUAAACUCACCGUCGUCGAGCUCCUGCCAUGGUCCCCAACGUCCCUGACCUCUUCGAAGAGAAGGGGCACAAAUCUUGGAAUCAAACAUCAAAAGAACAGAUAUGAGAAUUGGUGUUUGUAUUUUAGAGCAGUGAAGAGAAAUAUACAGUUGAGAUUUGGAAUGGUGCUGAACUCAUCCACAACUUCGGAAAUUUUCAUUUUUUUGGUGCACUCUAAGUGCAAGAAGCUCUUCUUCAUCACCAACAGUUUCUGGGAAUUGCAGAUUCAAUAUGUUGAAGAGUUCCGAUCAUUGGGAAUUUUUGUGUUACAAGUUUGCUCUUUGUUCGUUCCCUUUCGAUUUGAACUUUGAUGUUCUUUAAAUUGCAGUAGUAUUUUAACCAAAGUUGGCUUACCUUUUUUGAUUUGUGGUGGGGAAAUGGGUUUCCUGCUACUUGUGAUGUUUGUGUAAACAUUGACGUCAAAAUCGCCUCUGACAACGGUAAACGAUGAUCAGUAGGAUGUCGGAUAAGAUCGCUGAACCUAGUCCAAGGAUUAACUAAAUAACCUUAAUUUAAAUAUGGG